AAAGUUGGAGGGGAGAUACCAUGAGAUAAGUUCAAAUGUUUCCCCCUCAGGGGCACCAAUAUUCCAAGGGGACUGAAGCCAAGGAACGGUUACUAGAGCUUCCUUUUCCUUUGAGUUACUUGUUGAAAAUCCCUGAUGCCAUUGCCAGGCCUUUCUUCCUCUCUAGGCUAUAUGCAUGUGUGUACUUUUGUGUGUGGCCCCUAGGUCUGAUUUCAGCCUAAGAUGUGGGAGAAGUUCAAGACAGCAUCACAGGGCCGAGUCACACCUCCUAAGUAAGUUAAACUUCGAAAAUGUAUAAUUGCUCACCAACGUUAACCCGACCCCAUUACUCAACGGAUCGAGCCUCUUCCUCUUUGAGGAACGUUUAUUGCGUAAUCACUACCCACGGAAGAACAGAGACAUAUCUGAGCCUCGAAGGGGCAAGGUCAGGACAUCAAAAUCCCCAGUGGCUUCAUUCUUUUGAAAAGUUGCUGUAGCACUUAGCAAUCUACUUAAAGGAGGAAAAGAAUCACACUACGAUCUCGAUCUCUGAUAAGUGCAAAUUAAAGUCCUUGAGCUUGUCCUUUCAACCUUGUUGGCAGUUGGUUGGCGCGGUCUCCAUCACAAAGGCGGCAGUUCCUGUAGCAGCUGCAACUGUCCGUUCCUUUUCUGCCAGGUCUGGGAGCUCGCCUACCAUGGCUCUACUUACUGCGGCAGCCCGGUUCUUGGCAGCCAAGAACUCAUCCUGCCUUGCCCUUGCCACCCGGCAUGCCAGUGCUUCUUCCACGAAUUUGAAAGAUGUACUGAGAAAUCUGAUACCUAAGGAGCAGGCCAGAAUUAAGACCUUCAGACAGCAACACGGGAAGACAGUCGUGGGCCAAAUCACUGUGGACAUGUUGUACGGUGGCAUGAGAGGCAUGAAGGGACUUGUGUAUGAGACAUCGGUUCUUGAUCCUGAUGAAGGCAUCCGUUUCCGAGGCUACAGUAUCCCUGAAUGUCAGAAACUGCUGCCUAAGGCUAAGGGUGGGAAUGAACCUCUGCCUGAGGGCUUAUUUUGGUUGCUGGUAACUGGACAGAUGCCCACAAAAGAACAGGUAUCUUGGCUAUCACAAGAAUGGGUUAAAAGGGCAGCUCUACCUUCUUAUGUGGUCACCAUGCUGGACAAUUUUCCGACCAAACUGCACCCCAUGUCUCAGCUGAGUGCAGCCAUCACAGUCCUCAAUAGUGAAAGCAACUUCGCCCGGGCAUACGCAGAGGGAAUGAACAAAACUAAGUAUUGGGAGUUCAUCUAUGAAGACUGUAUGAACCUGAUUGCCAAGCUACCGUGUGUUGCAGCAAAGAUCUAUCGAAAUCUGUACCGGGAGGACAGCAGUAUUGUGCCUGUUGACUCUAAGCUGGACUGGUCCCAAAAUUUUGCCAACAUGUUAGGCUACAAGGACCCUCAGUUCACCGAGCUCAUGCGUUUGUACCUCACCAUCCACAGUGACCACGAGGGUGGUAAUGUAAGUGCCCACACCAGCCAUUUGGUGGGUAGCGCUCUUUCAGACCCUUACCUGUCCUUUGCAGCAGCCUUGAACGGGCUGGCGGGGCCUCUACAUGGACUAGCCAAUCAGGAGGUGCUUGUCUGGCUGACACAUCUACAGAAGGAAGUUGGCAACGAUGUGUCAGAUGAGAAGUUACGAGACUACAUCUGGUGCACGCUCAAGUCAGGACGGGUUGUCCCAGGGUAUGGCCAUGCGGUACUAAGGAAGACUGAUCCUCGAUAUACCUGUCAGCAAAAGUUUGCUCUGAAACAUCUGCCUAAGGAUCCCAUGUUUAAGCUGGUUGGUCAGCUGUACAAGAUUGUGCCUAAUAUCCUCGUAGAGCAAGGGAAGGCGAAGAACCCUUGGCCCAACGUAGAUGCUCACAGUGGGGUGCUGCUCCAGUACUACGGAAUGACAGAGAUGAAGUACUACACAGUCCUGUUCGGAGUGUCGAGGGCACUGGGUGUGCUGGCCCAGCUCAUCUGGAGCAGAGCCCUAGGCUUCCCUCUAGAAAGGCCCAAGUCCAUAAGCACAAAUGAUCUGAUGAAGUUUGUGGACUCUAAGUAAGGGUAAAAUGGGUGAUUGGGGGGCAGGGGAACUCACUAUAAGAAAAUGAGGAAGCUUAAAAAUAAAGUGUAAUUUUUGUUUUGUUUCAGGGGCUUUAAAACUUAAGAUUAAACUGUAUCUGAGGCACUGAAAAUACAUUUAAAGUUAAAAUAUAAAUUCAGACUUGAAAGACAAAGUGACCCCUUCUCUCCUUCUCCACUUCUCCCCUUUCUCCCCUUCUCCCCUUUCUCCCCUCACCAGCUCCCCCCCCCAUCCUGGUAUGAGUUGCCCACCAACUGUAGGAUGACCGGGACUGUGGUCAGGGUUAGAUCUGGCUGCCCACUGUCUCUAGAGUAAGAGUGUGGCUCCUCUCUUCUUCAGGUCAAAGUAGGUUUUAGAAAAGCUGCCGUCACUCAGGGAAGCUUUUGUUUCUACUCUGCCAGCCCCCAAAGCAUUUAGGCCAGGGGCAGGCCCCUUUGUGUCCCCAGAAAUCACAUUGGAUGUCAGUGUGCUUAUGUACACGCUAGGGCCUUUGCCCGUGUACACAAGCACCUCCUACCUAGCAAGACCUCUUGGUUAGCUGGAGAUGCUUUGGCAGCUUUUUAAUGCUAUCAGGUGACCAUAAAUGGCAUGGUAUUUAUUUUGACUGGCACCCAACAUUUGAAUCUAUUUCUUGUUUAAAAUUAUACCAUUAAAGUUAAGGUCUGGGGGUGUUGUCUUUCCUUCCAGGUUUUCUAUACCUGCUAUGCCUCAGACUGAGGAUGCUCUGGGUCUCCCUGUCCUGGCCUCUGCUAGGGUCCUCUCUUAGCAGGUCUGUCCAAUCUCUGGUCUUCCCAGUCAUUUGGCUUUAUCAGUUCUUAAUGUGAAGUGAAGUAAGGCUUUUACUUCCAUGAAACAAGCCACUAUCUUCUAACCUCGCUUUCUCCUGUUAAUAUGUUCUGGCACAGAACAAGGGCUCAGGAAUGACCAGCCUCUUUGGGGUCUGGUCCCAGGGGUUCUAGCCUUUCUUUUUGAACAGCAAUUACACAUGGUUCCCAAUGAUUAUUAGAUGGACCUAGGGCUGGGGGCAUUCCAAAGACUAAGCCUUCUUCUCACCCCGGGUCAAGGAAAUGGUCCUUUAAUUAUCAGUGUCUUUUGUUCUUCCUGUAAGUAAGAGCUCAUAGCAUGGCACUUAUUUUAGUAGCCCCAUUUGCACAUAUUUUUCAGUGACUCAGAAUGUUCUACUGAUUUUUCUUUGAGAAAUGGUUGAGAUACACUCCUGUUGUGCCCCCUCCUCAUCCCAGAGCUUCUGCCUGUGUUUGUAUGGAACCCAACUCCAGCACCACCACACUGUUGAGGUGGACAUACUGUAAACCCCUGGGUAACUGUUAGAGUCAUGAUGAAGACUUCAGGUGUUUCUGUAUAAAGUGAAAACUCAUAAGUGUUUUUAUGAACAACAACAAAAAAAUAAAGUCCCUGAGUUUGGUGGAAAAAAUAAAGUGCAGGGCUUGGUAUCUGAA